GGAGCAAGGACUUCCCCCUUAGAUUAUGGGAAGAUGGUUAUUUUAUCACAGAACUAGUAGAAACAAUUUGAAGUGUUAUAUUCCUGUUAUUAUGGCAUAAAACUUGAAAAAAAUAUUCUCCUUAGACAGAAAUAAUAUUUCUGUAUCCGUAAAAUAUUUGGACUUUUUACUGUAGCAUGUAAAAAUCUUGAAUAAGCAAUAAACUUCCAUACUUUCUUUUCAGGUGGUUUUCCUCAGUGGGCUCAUGGCAUCACCCAAACCCACCAAGCUCAGGAGGAUAUCCUGGAGACCAUCCCCACUGCUCUCAAAGUUUAAUCCAGAAGUAGGUCAAAUCCAGAUGGUGAGUCAGGAAAUGCUAAUGUAUUUUAAUUAUUAGGCUAUUUUUAGAAAGUUCAUCAUGUUAUAUAGCCAGGAAGUGAAGUGGAGCAGAAAGUAAAAUCCGAGCUAGAUGAUUCUCUCUUUUUGAGAUAGGAAGAUGAGUUAUGCUUCAUUGACGCUAUUAAUGAAAAAUAAAUUGUGACAGUUCUAGGUCUAAAAGCUGAGC
rnacentral:lncRNA from 1 species